UGGUCAAGUUAUUAAGGGUGCAGGGCGGAUGCCUUGGCACUAGGAGCCGAUGAAGGACGUGAUAAGCUGCGAUAAGCUUCGGGGAGUUGCACGUAAACUUUGAUCCGAAGAUUUCCGAAUGAGGAAACUCACUUAGAGUAAUGUCUAAGUAUCAUUAAGUGAAUACAUAGCUUAAUGAGGGGAACUCAGGGAACUGAAACAUCUAAGUACCUGAAGGAAGAGAAAGAAAUUCGAUUCCGUAAGUAGCGGCGAGCGAACGCGGAUUAGCCCAAACCAAUAAAGUUUUCUUUAUUGGGGUUGCGGACAUA
rnacentral:rRNA from 1 species